rnacentral:lncRNA from 1 species
AGUGUGGGAGUUAAGUGUGGUUCGUACUUGCAGCUUGGAUCCUUCCGCCGCCGCCUGGCGCGGGCUCCUGGAAGGGCGGGUCCUGCUGGCCCAGGGUUAGUGGAGGGUCACGGGGCGUUGAGGAGCAUCUGGCGAGGUUAUCCUGGAAGAAGCCUACACGAACGCAGUCGUGCCAAACGGAAAAAAAAGAGCAGAGCCGGACAGCUUUAUCCGGAGUGUCCUUUCCCUCCUUCUAAGGAACCCCUCCAUCAAACUCUUUCCUGGCAUCCUAAAAAAUUUAAAAUCAAAACCAAAACAAUCUUGACUACAUAAGUAAAAAGAUCGCUAAUAAAAAUAAAUGAAAGAUUUAGGUUGUCCGAUAUUGCCAAAAGAAAUGCCCAAUAAAGACAUAAUAUAGACAGACAAAUUCUGAACCCUCAAUUCUGAAUCUCUCCGUAAGUGUUUAUUGAGCCGCUUCUUUCUUCCCAGAACCGAUGGGCAAGAACCAAGUACUGCUCUGGAGCUUGCUGAAGGCACACCAAGGACUUCCUUUCACAAUGUGAUUAGCGCUGCUGUGGGAAAGAGAAGGCUUGAACUGGAGGGUUCUGCACAUGGAUGGACAUUUGGAAUGGACAUUUACAUACACUAUGAUCCUUCAUGUAUUUAUUCUGUAUAUCUUUAUGGAGCAUCCUCAGGGUGCCAGGUUAUGAUACUGAAUAAAUCUGACAAAGACCCUGACCUUGUGGAGCGAAGAUUCUCAAGGGGAGCCAGAUCAUGGAUGGGUAAACAAAGAUGGUAAGGCUUUGUUUCUUUUUUCUUUUUUUUUUUUUUUUGCCACAUCACGCAGCAUGUGGAAUCCUAGUUCCCUGACCAGGGAUCAAACACGUACCCCCUGCACUGAAAGUAUGGAGUCUCAAUCACCGGACUUCCAGGGAAUUUCCAAAGAUGAUACAUUUUAACACUGCAAGCAAUAACUGAAUACAUUCUCCCUAUUAAAAGAGGAAUACAGGAAACAAGAUUACAGCAUCUUUCAACAUCUCUUCUGUGGAUCCCAUCAGGUGACUUUCUCACUAUUUACUUAGUCCUUUUCAUGGUGAGAAUCUUGGACUGUGGCCACAUCUUCUUCUCUCCUCUCUCCUGGGUGCUGGAGAGGAGGUAGAGACGUUGAACUUUGGAUGAUCACUUAAGGCACAUCUGGGUACCAUU